rnacentral:rRNA from 1 species
UACGUAGGGUGCAAGCGUUAAUCGGAAUUACUGGGCGUAAAGCGUGCGCAGGCGGUUAUGUAAGAUAGAUGUGAAAUGCCCGGGCUUAACCUGGGAACUGCAUUUGUGACUGCAUGGCUAGAGUUUGGCAGAGGGGGGUAGAAUUCCACGUGUAGCAGUGAAAUGCGUAGAUAUGUGGAGGAACACCGAUGGCGAAGGCAGCCCCCUGGGUCAAGACUGACGCUCAUGCACGAAAGCGUGGGGAGCAAACAGG